UAGAGGUGUUACAGGUCGUUGUAGUGUUACAGGUUGUUGUAGAGGUGUUACAGGUCGUUGUAGAGGUGUUACAGGUCGUUGUAGUGUUACAGGUCGUUGUA